AUUGAACGCUGGCGGCAGGCUUAACACAUGCAAGUCGAGCGAGCGGCGGACGGGUGCGUAAUGUCUGGGAAACUGCCUGAUUGAGGGGGAUAACUACUGGAAACGGUAGCUAAUACCGCAUACCAUCAGAUGGGCCCAGAUGGGAUUAGCUAGUAGGUGGGGGAAUGGCUCACCUAGGCGACUAUCCCUAGCUGGUCUGCGAGGAUGACUCGCCACACGGUAACUGAGACACGGGCCAGACUCCGACGUGAUGCAGCAGUGGGGAAUAUUGCACAAUGGGCGCAAGCCGGAUGCAGCCAUGCCGCGUGGGUGAAGAAGGCCUUCGGGUUGUAAAGCACGUUCAGCGAGGAGGCGUUACUCGCAGAAGAAGCACCGGCUAACUCCGUGCCAGCAGCCGCGGUAAUAC
rnacentral:rRNA from 1 species